UACGGGGGGAGCAAGCGUUGUUCGGAUUUACUGGGCGUAAAGGGCGCGUAGGCGGUCAGCACAAGUCAAUUGUGAAAUCUCCGAGCUUAACUCGGAAAGGUCAACUGAAACUGUGCGACUAGAGUGCGGAAGGGGCAACUGGAAUUCUUGGUGUAGCGGUGAAAUGCGUAGAUAUCAAGAGGAACACCUGCGGCGAAGGCGGGUUGCUGGGCCGACACUGACGCUGAAGCGCGAAAGCCAGGGGAGCGAACGGG
rnacentral:rRNA from 1 species